rnacentral:lncRNA from 1 species
AAAGCAUCUUAAAGGAAUAUCUGGUGAUUCUAGUUCAACUUGAACAGCAUCUUGCACUUGAAGAAAGAGACUAAGCCAGGACUUGUUUGUUCCUACUCCAAGGGAGAUGUAUAGUUUCUGGUAUUCUAAGAAAAGUCUCAUGGGAAGUUAAUGCUAAUACCCUGAAAGGUUAAAGCUAAUAUCCCAAAGAAUAGUUUUUGUAUUAUUUUUAAAGAUAAAAAUCCAGCUCUUUUCUCAAUCUAUAGAACAAAGGUCAGGCUUAGUUUCAUAUUUGUGGCUUUUCUGGGAAGAAGGGUAGACAAUAGCUCCCCAGGGAGAGAGUAAGAGUCCAGAGCAUACUCAGAAGAUCUGGAAUAUGAAAACUAGAUAGGCUAUUAGCUGUUGGGAUAAGUAGGCAUUUAGUUAUGUUCAAAUGGCAUUUGAAAUAAUAGAAUUCUGUCAAGUGCAGAUCACAGCUGCUUGAUCAUAACUCUUGAUCAGAGUUAGCUAAUGCUAGAUUUGGAGGGCAAUACUUGAAUCAAUUUUUCAUCUUGUAAGUGCAAAACGUGUUAUGUUUUGAAAUCAUAACCACUUUCAUUGAAGCCUGUCCUCUUCCUUUUAGGUAGGAGUGAUGGUGCAUGACUGUAAUUUAAGCACUGAAAGGCAAAGGGAAGAGGAUUGAGCGUAACCCAGGUUACUCAGUGAGCCCCUGUCUCAAAAGAAAGAGAAAGUAGGGGAGGGAGAGGCAAGCUCCUUUUGCGUUUCUAUAUAGGCACACAGCAUCUUAAUGCCUCACCAAUAAGUCUCCUUUCAUUGGUAACCUCAUCCUUCCCCUCUCUUCCUACUUCUUAAAAAAGCUCAAACUGAAAAGGAUAGACUGUAAAGAUAAACUAUGCAGGACGAAUCUUCUAGUAGAAAGAGCAAAACCAUACAUGUCUGUUUAUACACCAGUAAAUAAAUUAUUUGGAACAGUACUCCAAAGGUUGUAGGCAUAAAGAUAGUUAUUUCUUUUUUUUUCUUGAUAUGUCAAUUGUUUCUACCAUUUUGUAUAUUUCCUUAAUUCAUUUAUGACAAGCCAUUGUGUUUUCUAGAGAAAGCUUCAUGAUUAUCUCUCAUUGGUCAUACUCUAUCAGAUUCACAUUCUUUUGCUGUCUUUACAGCCUUCUAAAUCGAAGAUCUGCAAUCCUCAAAACUUUCUGAAGUUGCAACACCUUCUUGUUUUCUUUUUGUUGUGUCCCUUCCUCUGCUAAAAGUAUUUUGUGACGUAGGUAGGAAUUACGUGUUUUUAGCAACAAUUUCAAUAUUUUUAAGUAAAUAAGAACUGAGGCUUAAGAAUUUUCUGACACUCAUUGACAGGUUGUAGAUGUCUCCGAGCAUUGCAAGACCAAGAUAGGGAAACAGUGACUUAGAAAAAAAAGAAAUAAGCUAUUCAAGCUGGGAGCGAUGACGCUCGUCUGCAAUUCCAGCACUAAACAGGUGGAGCAGGGCAAUCAGGAGUUCAAGGUACCUAGCGAGUUCAAGGCCUGCUGAGAUACAUGAGACCCUAGCUGGAAAAAAAGU